AGCGAACCGGGGGAACUGAAACAUCUAAGUACCCCGAGGAAAAGAAAUCAACCGAGAUUCCCCCAGUAGCGGCGAGCGAACGGGGAGCAGCCCAGAGUCUGAAUCAGCUUGUGUGUUAGUGGAACGGUCUGGAAAGUCCGACGGUACAGGGUGAUAGUCCCGUACACCAAAAUGCACAGGUUGUGAACUCGAAGAGUAGGGCGGGACACGUGGUAUCCUGUCUGAAUAUGGGGGGACCAUCCUCCAAGGCUAAAUACUCCUGACUGACCGAUAGUGAACCAGUACCGUGAGGGAAAGGCGAAAAGAACCCCGGCGAGGGGAGUGAAAAAGAACCUGAAACCGUGUACGUACAAGCAGUGGGAGCCUCUUUAUGGGGUGACUGCGUACCUUUUGUAUAAUGGGUCAGCGACUUAUAUUCUGUAGCAAGGUUAACCGUAUAGGGGAGCCGAAGGGAAACCGAGUCUUAACUGGGCGUUAAGUUGCAGGGUAUAGACCCGAAACCCGGUGAUCUAGCCAUGGGCAGGUUGAAGGUUGGGUAACACUAACUGGAGGACCGAACCGACUAAUGUUGAAAAAUUAGCGGAUGACUUGUGGCUGGGGGUGAAAGGCCAAUCAAACCGGGAGAUAGCUGGUUCUCCCCGAAAGCUAUUUAGGUAGCGCCUCGUGAACUCAUCUUCGGGGGUAGAGCACUGUUUCGGCUAGGGGGUCAUCCCGACUUACCAACCCGAUGCAAACUGCGAAUACCGAAGAAUGUUAUCACGGGAGACACACGGCGGGUGCUAACGUCCGUCGUGAAGAGGGAAACAACCCAGACCGCCAGCUAAGGUCCCAAAGUCAUGGUUAAGUGGGAAACGAUGUGGGAAGGCACAGACAGCCAGGAUGUUGGCUUAGAAGCAGCCAUCAUUUAAAGAAAGCGUAAUAGCUCACUGGUCGAGUCGGCCUGCGCGGAAGAUGUAACGGGGCUAAACCAUGCACCGAAGCUGCGGCAGCGACACUAUGUGUUGUUGGGUAGGGGAGCGUUCUGUAAGCCGUUGAAGGUGUGCUGUGAGGCAUGCUGGAGGUAUCAGAAGUGCGAAUGCUGACAUAAGUAACGAUAAUGCGGGUGAAAAACCCGCACGCCGGAAGACCAAGGGUUCCUGUCCAACGUUAAUCGGGGCAGGGUGAGUCGACCCCUAAGGCGAGGCCGAAAGGCGUAGUCGAUGGGAAACAGGUUAAUAUUCCUGUACUUGGUGUUACUGCGAAGGGGGGACGGAGAAGGCUAUGUUAGCCGGGCGACGGUUGUCCCGGUUUAAGCAUGUAGGCGGAGGUUCCAGGUAAAUCCGGUACCUUUUUAACGCUGAGGUGUGAUGACGAGGCACUACGGUGCUGAAGUAACAAAUGCCCUGCUUCCAGGAAAAGCCUCUAAGCAUCAGGUAACACGAAAUCGUACCCCAAACCGACACAGGUGGUCAGGUAGAGAAUACCAAGGCGCUUGAGAGAACUCGGGUGAAGGAACUAGGCAAAAUGGUGCCGUAACUUCGGGAGAAGGCACGCUGAUAUGUAGGUGAAGCGGUUUACCC
rnacentral:rRNA from 1 species